AUGUACCAUCUGCAACAUCUCAAGAAAUUCAAAGAAAUUCAGAAUACGGGAGGUUGUGCGGCACCGAGCGGAUGUACGGCGAGGUCUUCGAAUGGUGUCAAGUCACCCUUGCCAUAUGGAACAUAUGAGGAGAGCGACGAGGAGGAGGCGCCCGUCGAGGAGGAGGCCGCCUUGGAGGAGCAGCUACAGUCGGGGUCGGGCUCCUCGGAGGAGCAGCCGCAGUCGGGGUCGGGCUCCUCGACGACGCAGGCGGCGCCGGCGCUGGAGGCGAUGCUGCUGCCCCGCUCGCCGGCCGUGCUCGAGCCCCUCGAUCUCCUCCCUCCUCCGGGACGCGGAUGUGCUGCUCCUGUCCCUCGACGACGCGGCCGUCCUCCUCGGCGAUCUCGUGGCCGACAGCGGCGGCGAAGUCCACGGGCAGGUCAGCGGGGCGGUGGGAGAGCGCGGCCAGGGCCUCGCUGGCGGGGGCCGGACGGUGGAUGGAUCGGGCGACGGAGGAAGGAGGAAGAAGCUGAGGGGGGCUGA
rnacentral:rRNA from 1 species